rnacentral:rRNA from 1 species
CGGAACACGUACAGAACCUUCCUUUAAGCGGGGGAUAGCCCAUAGAAAUGUGGAUUAAUACCCCAUAGUAAUGCUGGUUGGCAUCAACUGGUAUUUAAAGAUUUAUCACUUAAAGAUGGCUGUGCGGCUGAUUAGGUAGUUGGUGAGGGUAACGGCCCACCAAGCCAGCGAUCAGUAACUGGUGUGAGAGCACGACCAGUCACACGGGCACUGAGACACGGGCCCG